CCUAGAGUUGUAGGCUUUGCCUGCUAUCUCUUACCCAUGUCUUUUGAGUACCUUCGUUUCCUCGGCGGGGUCCGCCCGCCGAUGGGACAAUUUAAAACCAUUUGCAGUUGCAAUCAGCGUCUGAAAAAACUUAAUAGUUA
rnacentral:misc_RNA from 1 species